rnacentral:lncRNA from 1 species
GGGGGUGGGGUGCUUGCUUUCGAAGUUGUCCCAGAUGUUUGGCCUUGGGGGGUUGGAGGGAGCCGGAGGCCAAGAAGGCCUGGGGCUGGGUGAAGCCCCUGCAGCUCCGUGGCCUCCAGGCCAUAAAGAAUGCAGCCCGCGGAGGAAAUGGCCCCACAGUGGAGCUAUUUAGGCCCGGCUUUCAUUUCAAAGACCUUGUUUCCACUUCAUUCUCAAAUUAUUUUUCUAAACAAGUACUUUUGAUCAGCUGGAAUGUUGGACUUCUCUUUGGGGUAAGCCACAUUCAUUUUUUAAAACUGCUCUGAAAGCCCAGAGCUGGGGCUCUGGAGUUCUGUGUUUUGGCUCGCAUUGUGGGGAGCUUGGAAAGGUAGGUGGUCAUUCAUUCACAGGUUUUCUCACCCACACAUCAGUGGGGACGUUGGAUCACUGUGCCUCGGCAGUGCCCAGAAUCAACCGUGUUUACUUGAAUACCCUUAGGACAGUGUCUUUGUAAAUCUGGGACCUAGAAGUAAAACUUGGAGGACUAGCCACCACAGGCUACAGAGUGGAGCUAAAAGCAGGGAGGCCGGAGGCUUAAUCUAGAUGGGACUCAUCCUGAGCCGUUGUGGGUCCAGACCGGAGUGAAUCCAAGAAGCCCCCACACUGCCUGCUGGGAGACUGGGGUGGGUAUACACCACCGUAGAAAUCAUUCCGGAAGGGUGCCACAUACAAGUGCAGGUCUUCUGCGCCUUCUGUCUGAAUCUCCUGCUAUCCAUGGGAAAAGCAGCAGGCACAAUUGAGAAACUGGGAGGAGAUGGAGGAUUGAGCGAGCCUGGAAGGGCCUUGAUGCAGGAAAGACAUGCUGGGCAGGCUCUUGGAACUGCCAGGUCUGCUCCUAAGAGUCUCAGGAAAACCCUGGGGUGGAGAGCCUGCUGGAGAACACUAAACCUAGGGAGGAAAGCCACCUGCAGAUGCCACCGCUGUCCUCCAGCUUAGUUCGCGGUGACAAACGAAGGCGGAAAUGACUCGCCCCCAGUGGUUUCUUUAAAACCGGAAGUUGGGUCUCUGCAGCCCUUUCAGGCUGACCAGCUGUUGGACUGAGGCCAGGCAAGCUCCUACCCAUUGUUCCUUUGCCUGCUUGUUGAGUCUUUGUAACAGCAGAUCCUCCUGCCUCAGCCUCCAGCUGAGCCGGGACUACAGGUGUGCCGCGCAUGCCCAGCUCCAAUCUCAUUCCGCUGUUUACUAUCACCACGGAGGCUGCAAUGAGCAUCAGACACCCAGGGCCGGCAGCUCGUGAUCUGAGCUGCUAGCAAGCCAAAGGAGGAGGAAAGAGAAGAAAAGAGGAAGUUGAGGCACAGCAGGAAGACAGCCAGAAGAGCCAGAAAGUGCAAGAAUGUUUGUGGGUGUGCUUGGCAGGGCAUCUCUGAAGGAAGACAUGGACUUCCAAACCAGGGAGAGCUGGAAAGUGACAAGGAUUUAGGGGACCCCUGUGGUCCCUCUGGACACUGCACCUGAAAAGGAGAGCUCGGGCAGCAGCACCCGAGAGCAGAGCGGUCCUGAAGCUGAGGCAGCGUCUUCCAGGGCUGGGAGGUCCUAGGGACCCACAGCCACACUGUCUCCAUCCCUCUGUUCCCCUGGGAUGGCUAGGCCCACCCGGUCACACCACGAGAAUGACUAACCUCCUGUAGCAGGAGUCUGUCACGCAAAAUAUAAGUUGGACUCCACAGAACUCCUCCUGGCCCCAGGCUCUGUGGCAAAGGAAGUCUAGGGAAAGCUAUGAGCUCCUACUCUGCCCAGACUGCCCACCCACCAUUCUAGAAUGUAGCUGUGGAUCCUGAGGACUGCUUGGCUUCCAGCCUGGUUUCCCAGUGACAAGCUGUAUCCUUAGAACUCCGAAACAGAAAAGAUGUUCUUCAAGGCUCCACGUAACCCCUGGCACGUCCAUCGAAGGAAUCUUGCUCAGCCGUUAGGGUGAAAGAAGAGGCUCCGCGGGGAUUUGCUGGAGUUAUUAUUUUACAUGUAUGAGUGUUUGGCUUGCACAUAUAUUAAGUGUACCACAUGUGUGCCUGGGCCCUUUGGAGUCCAGAAGAAGGUGUUGAAUCCUCUGGGGACUGGAGUUACAGAUGCUUGUGAGCUGACAUGUUGUGGCUGGGGAUAGAACCUGGGUCCCUCUGGAAGAGCAACAGUCUCCUUUAACCACUGAGCCACCUCUCCAGCCCCUAGCUUCAUGUAUACUGACGAGUGAAAGAAAUCCACUUGAAAAGGCUACAUCUCUCUGUACUGACUGCAUGGCAUUCUGGGAAAGGGCCCUGGAGAUAAUCAACUCUCAGCUGCUGCCUGAAGGCAGAGGCAGGGACAAGCAGUUUCCUGGAGGAGGCUCAAAGGAUCCCCAGCCGUUGGCCCCCUUCUCCUCAGCUUCCUGUUUGGCUUCCAGAGAGACGGUUUGGCCGUUGCUGCAGCUGAACCAAGCCAGUUGGCCUGGUGGUAGGGGGGCCACUCAAGGGGGAGUGGGCUGGGAGAGGGGGUGCUGUUAGCUUGGCAAGCAAGGAAACUAACUGUGAGUACUCCGAUCCUCAGACCUGCAGCCUUUGAGUGGUUGGCCCUGGCUUCCUGAAGGCUGUAUCUAAGCUAAGCAGCUGAGGGCUGGGACCUCAUCACCUCCCUCUGUGGGCAGCCUUUCCUCCUGGCCACUUAACUCGCCCAGCCCCUGCUUCCCAGGUGUCUGGGUUCACAAAGGCCAGCCCUGAGCUCAGACUUCCUUCCACCCCACCCACCAGCCCUCACCUUUCACUUCCUUCAGCCUUGAAGGCCCCUCCCACUCAGAGAUUAGACCCCAGGCUCUCUGGCGAAGGCCAUCACUGCUCACCCUGAGGAAGCUCUGAGCCGAGGUUGAAGACAGAGUCUUGGUGCUAAGUACCUACAUCAGGGAACAUGUGGGAGUGAGCACUCGGGUGUCAGGAAGAAAUGUCCUGCGGUCAGAAUUUAGAGGGUGAAUAGAGUUAUUUGGAAAAGAGGGUCAGGGUGUUUCAAUAACAAAGGCCCACAAGGGGGUGAGCACCAGACAUGGGCAGGGAUGCAGUUAAAGAAGCAACUGGAAAGAAGAUGCUCUAAAGCCAGUUAGGACAGCAUCUGCCCAUUCCACCCUGACACCAGUCCUCAGGAGGUUCAGGUCCUGCAGAGUAAGGCCAGCGUUCCCUGGGAUUUAUAGGACCACAGCCCCUGCAAGUCUGGGCCUCCUUGCUAACCUAUAUAGUCAACCUCUAAAGGUGAGUCUCUAAGGGAGACUGAUGUCAUUGUCCUACCUCUAGAUUGGGAGUGGAGAGAGAACCAUUCACAUGGCUAGAGACAUAGCUCUCGCCCUGGAGAAGAAAAAAAAUGGCAGGCUCUGCUUCUCACACUCCAGACUCUGGAGCCACGGAGGCUGAGACAGCCAGGAGGCUGCGGCCGGGAGCACACACGCUCGGAAACACUAGGUGUGCCUUGCAAGAUUGGUGCCUUGCAAGGUGGAGAGGUACCCCGUGCUCAGAGGCAUCGACAAGAGAGACACUUCACUUGGGGUUACACAAAGGGGUGCCUUGAGAUGAGCAUUCUGCAUGUGACAGUGGAUACAGAGGGACCCAGUUUUUGUUUCUCCAGCCCCAGCAUAGCCACAUGGCCUCCUCCUGACAAGAGAAAGUGAAAACAUGUUUGCCCCACAGUAGUCCUGCUGGCCCAGUGAUGAAGAUCUUCCAGGGCUAGCACUUGGCCUCCAUUCUGGGACAUUCUAGCAGAAGCCCUAUUUCCUAAGAAAGCCCUUUUCUCUUCUCUACACCUGCUGCCAGUUCUGUGCCUUUGUCCCAAUUGACAUAAGCCUGAGCCUGCGAUGCUCGGGGCCUCUCUGCUUCUGCCAUGAGCCGUCUGUCAAACUGGCCACACAGGGCCAUGCUUUCUCAAAGCAUGUGAAGCUACCACAGGGAGGUGGACCUCGGGAGUUCUGGGAGAGAACUACUAAACAGAGUGAACACACUAAAUAGAAAACAAUCAGAGAAUUAGAGGAUGCCUUUAAUCCCAGCACUCGGGAGGCAGAGGCAGGCGGAUUUCUGAGUUUGAGGCCAGCCUGGUCUACAGAGUGAGUUUCAGGACAGCCAGGACUACACAGAGAAACCUUGUCAAAAAAAAAAAAAAAAGAAGGGAAGGAAGGAAGGAAGGAAGAAAGGAAGAAAGAAAAGAAGAGAAAAG